CUGAAUUUUUAAUUCUAUUUUCAUAAUAAAACACUGUGGCUCCAAGGAAAAAAAACUUGUUUCUAGUGUAGCAGUCGAUGUGUUAAGGAAAUUGGACAUUUUAUACUUAAUAACCUAAUACAAAGGACGAAGAGGAAAUCCUAACAACUUGCAGAUGGAGGGGGGAAUAGAUUGAAAGCAUCAGGAAUUAGAAUGACAUCAGACAUCUCAAUAGCAAUAUUGAAACCUGGAAAAGCAAUGCUUUCCAAAUUCUGAGGGAAAGGGAUUGCCAACCUAGAGCACUUACUCUCUCCAAAUUAUUAGUCAACCUUGGAAGAUCUCAAAACACUUGCCUCCCAUGUAUGCUUUCUCAAGAUCUUCUGGAAGAUGAAUUUAAGAGAAUUCAUAAAAAAAGAACACAAAGAAAAAGGAAGACAUGGGGUUUAGAAAAUAGGGAAUGCCACAUGAGAAAGUGGCAAAAUGGAUCCCCACCGUGUUGAUGACAGGAGACCCACGAUGAUGGCUGUGCAGCUGGCCUCAAAGAUCCAGACUGGAGCAGGAGGACAGAGAGCUCAUGAGAGCAGGGAAGACCAUAGGCAGGUGCCCUUCCUAAUUAGAAACAAGUACAAAGAGGUGAAAGCGGUUGUCUCUUGGGCACAGGAAUGGAAGUUGGUGAGGAGUGUGGUGGGUGAGUACUGUUCCUAGUUAUAAGCCUCGUAUAAAUACUUGACUUUUAAAACUAUGUAUUGUAUGGUUUUGAUAAGGGGAAGUUCAGGCCAUCAAUCAGAUUCCAGAAUGAGAACCCAAGCAAGAAUCGGGAAGAUUCUUGAACAGUGUCCUGGAGAACCCACUCUUGAGAAGGCAGAGCACAGGCACUUGGCCAACCCUCUGGCAAACAGAAGACAUGAAGAAGGAGAUCAGAAGCAGAUCAGAAGAGACUUCAAUGUCCCAGGAAACAGGAUGCAAUGGGGUCACUAGUCUCCUUUAAUGAAAUAAUUCCUAAGUGUGACUUGCUUGGAGCUCACAGAGAUCAGCAGACAUGAAGGCUCAAAGGAAGCCUUAAUAUGUGCCAGGUACUAACACAGGCCGCUUUCCCCAAAGCCCACCCUGUCAGUGAGUCCCGAGGCUGCCCCAGGGGCACUGGGUCUGACUGCAGAUCCUGAGAUAUUAACUGUGGGUGGCUCCUGCACCCUCUCAACUCUAGUAACAUCUCAGCCAAAGGAGAGAACCACAAAGCGCCUACAGGAUCUUUUCUUCCAGAAAUGGUUCCUAGGAUGACAGCUUUGGUUACCUUCUUCCUUUCCCUCCAUCUCAUGGAGACAAAACUGACUUCAUUUCACUGCUAGUAUUUAUAAACUACCUACUAGAGAGGAGCUGCGAGACAGAAAAUGCCAUUCUCUUUCCAAACAUCUUUCAUCUUUAAAAGUCUUUCAUUUGUGGAUACUGUAAUAAAAAUAUUUUGUGUAUCGGUGGUGGAGCUGUUGUCCAAGCAGGCUGUUUAGUAGUUUGGGGGCAAAGAUCUGUCCCCAGAAGAGGUCACAACCUCGCGUGGGAUGGUAAACACCGUUCCCGCAGCAUUGCCCUGCCCCAGAUUCAUUCCCCUGCCAGCCAAAGCCAGAAGCGAAGCGAGGGAUUAGGACAGUGUGACAGAUGCCUGGGCUGUGACGCCCCGCCCGGGCGGGCCCUGGGCUCCCGGGGAUCCCGCACCCCGACGCGGCUCUGGAGCCCCGCUCCGCCGUCCCUCGUGCGCCCCCUCCCCGCCCGGCACACACGCGCAGGGCGCCUCCUUCCGUCCAGUCGCUGACAAACCAGUUCCAAGUCGCUUUACUCCUCCCAAGUCACAAACCGUCUCCAAACAGGCACCUCCCCCACGGCAAAGACAAAACAGCCCGGGGACCUGCGAGGUGAGUGCCGCGCACCGCUGGGUGGCUGCCCCGUUUCCCCGGGCGUGGCCACAUUCCCACGCGUGCGGCUGCAGCCUGUCUCCGCACCCACCUGGGUCACCCGGGAGCCGGCGCUUCCGGCGCCAGGCGGAU